UGGGGAAUCUUAGACAAUGGGGGCAACCCUGAUCUAGCCAUGCCGCGUGAGUGAUGAAGGCCUUAGGGUCGUAAAGCUCUUUCGCUGGGGAAGAUAAUGACGGUACCCAGUAAAGAAACCCCGGCUAACUCCGUGCCAGCAGCCGCGGUAAUACGGAGGGGGUUAGCGUUGUUCGGAAUUACUGGGCGUAAAGCGCGCGUAGGCGGACUGGAAAGUUGGGGGUGAAAUCCCGGGGCUCAACCUCGGAACUGCCUCCAAAACUAUCAGUCUAGAGUUCGAGAGAGGUGAGUGGAACUCCGAGUGUAGAGGUGAAAUUCGUAGAUAUUCGGAAGAACACCAGUGGCGAAGGCGGCUCACUGGCUCGAUACUGACGCUGAGGUGCGAAAGUGUGGGGAGCAAACAGG
rnacentral:rRNA from 1 species